rnacentral:rRNA from 1 species
AUGUCAAAUCAUCAUGCCCCUUACGUCUAGGGCUACAGGCGUGCUACAAUGGCCGAUACAAUGAGAUGCAAUAUCGUGAGAUGGAGCAAAUCUUCAAAGUCGGUCUCAGUUCGGAUUGAAGUCUGCAACUCGACUUCAUGAAGCUGGAAUCGCUAGUAAUCCUGAAUCAGAAUGUCAGGGUGAAUACGUUCCCGGGUGUU